UCUAAUUUCAAAGAAAUCAACAUGGACAAAUCAAGAUGCUUAUGCUAAGGCUUCACAACGGGAUUGCCCUAACCAGUUGAAUGAGCCUGAAGGGCCUCGGGGCCCUGAUGAAGAGAAGACAGCUGCAAUGAAAGAGAAGAACACAGACAAACACUCGGCUGACCACAAACAAGCAAAGUGAAGCCAGGGCCGGCCCGUGGCAUAGGCCAUAUAGGCAAAUGCUAAGGGCGCCGUCCAUCAGGGGGCGCCACGCCAGUGCCACAAAUGUUGAAAAAAAAAAAAAAAAAAGUUGGUACUAUUAUUUCUAAAUACAAAAAAUAAUCCCACGUUAAUUAAAAUGCAAAGUAAAGCUUAUUUAAUAGAAAUAUUAUUUGUUACAACAUUA